rnacentral:rRNA from 1 species
GACGAACGCUGGCGGCGUGCUUAACACAUGCAAGUCGAACGAAGUGGCGAACGGGUGAGUAACGCGUAAUCAACCUGCCCUUCAGAGGGGCAUAACAGUUGGAAACGACUGCUAAUACCGCAUACUGAAGGCGGGGUUCGCGUCGGAUUAGGUAGUUGGAGGGGUAACGGACCACCAAGGCGAUGAUCAGUAGCGGGUCUGGGAGGAUGAGCGGCGACAUUGGGACUGAGACACGUCCCAGACUCCUACGGGAGGCAUCAGUGGGGAGACUUCCGCAAUGGACGAAAGUCUGACGGAGCAACGCCGCGUGAGGUAUGACGGCCUUCGGGUUGUAAAGCUCUUUUCGUCGGGACGCGGUACCGGAAUAGAAAGCCACGGCUAACUACGUGCCAGCAGCCGCGGUAAUAC